CCCGUGUAAAAGCUCUUCGACGAGUCGAGUUGUUUGGGAAUGCAGCUCUAAAUGGGUGGUAAAUUUCAUCUAAAGCUAAAUACUGGCCGGAGACCGAUAGCGCACAAGUAGAGUGAUCGAAAGAUGAAAAGCACUUUGAAAAGAGAGUUAAACAGCACGUGAAAUUGUUGAAAGGGAAGCGCUUGCAACCAGACUCGCCCGCGGGGUUCAGCCGGCAUUCGUGCCGGUGUACUUCCCCGUGGGCGGGCCAGCGUCGGUUUGGGCGGCCGGUCAAAGGCCCCUGGAAUGUAGUGCCCUCCGGGGCACCUUAUAGCCAGGGGUGCAAUGCGGCCAGCCUAGACCGAGGAACGCGCUUCGGCUCGGACGCUGGCAUAAUGGUUGUAAACGACCCGUCUUGAAACACGGACCAAGGAGUCUAACAUCUACGCGAGUGUUCGGGUGUCAAACCCGUGCGCGCAGUGAAAGCGAACGGAGGUGGGAGCCCCCUCGUGGGGCGCACCAUCGACCGAUCCUGAUGUCUUCGGAUGGAUUUGAGUAAGAGCGUAAAUGUGGGGACCCGAAAGAUGGUGAACUAUGCCUGAAUAGGGCGAAGCCAGAGGAAACUCUGGUGGAGGCUCGCAGCGGUUCUGACGUGCAAAUCGAUCGUCAAAUUUGGGUAUAGGGGCGAAAGACUAAUCGAACCAUCUAGUAGC
rnacentral:ncRNA from 1 species